rnacentral:lncRNA from 1 species
GAGGGUUAAUCUUGUUUUUGGUGUGAGAGGAGGCAGACACACACAGAGAGAGAAAUCAAGGUAGAGGGAGAGCACUGAGAUUAUUUGCUUGAGUCAGUCUAUGCUUUCUGUCCUGUGAUUGGCUACUGAGCGGCAGCCCGCGCCUGGCUCCUCCCCCAGGACAUGCUGGUGUGAGUUGCUUAUGUCGCUGUAGUGCAGAGAGAGACUGUGCAAAACAGCCCCCCACCCCUCCUCUACGGGAAAUGGGUCUCAGGCUGAUGAGUAAGGCAAGAAGCUCCUGUAGCGCUGGUGCAUCUGAAGCUACGCCGCUAUGGAGGAAAGGGCCCAGUGUCAAAUGAGGGGAGACUGCAACUGGCCCCUGCAGCCUGUGGUCUGUUUGUGUCUCCAGUGGAUCAAAUACACCUUCUUUCCUUAAUAUCCCUGCAUUAUAUAAGAGUACACACAUUUAUAUGCACAGCUCCUGAGCUUCAUCUCUCUAAGGUGAGAAACACUUCUUUUUAUGAAGUCUUUCAUCUGUUAUAUUCUUAUGUUAAAUACUUAACCUGACUUUUAUGCUGUAUUUUUUAUGGAAAAUAUUUCCAGUACUGCAGAAUGGCACAUUGGUUUCCCCUUUUUCUCUUGUGGUGUCUGUACUUAAUAUUAGCAACAUUUUCCUGUGCCUUUGCAGAUAUUAAUAUUAUAUAUUUUUUUAAUGUCUAUAUUGGUAUAGAGCCACUAGGAAACUAAUGGAACAUAUUUUGGCAUGAUUUUUAGAAAUUAACAUCAGUCUUAGAUGUUCAGUACUGUUUCUCCACCUUUUUUGGCAUAGGCUUCACUAUGGAAGCCCGUUUCCACCACAGAGUAAAAAAUAUGAAAGGUAAUUGUGAAAUAUAGCUUAAAAUAUGAAAUAAAAUCACACUUAUGAAAGCUAAAGCAACUGUAUGUAUGUUUUUGCCUUUAAAUAUCAAUUUCAAAAUCAUUUUAAUUCUACACUGACCUCUAAGGAGAAACUGUCUGUUCUGGGAGUAUGUAAGUUUGGCAAAUGGGUAUGAAAUUCCACAGAAAGGGAUGAUUGCAACAAAUGCAUGCGUACAGCUAUCCAUGUAAUUAUGACUAAUUACAUAAUUCCACUCACUUAGCUAUAGGGGCUUCAAAGUCGCAAAAACACAGAAAACAACAUA